rnacentral:rRNA from 1 species
GAGUUUGAUCAUGGCUCAGGAUGAACGCUAGCGGCAGGCUUAACACAUGCAAGUCGAGGGGUAUAGUUCUUCGGAAUUAGAGACCGGCGCACGGGUGCGUAACGCGUAUGCAAUCUACCUUUCACAGAGGGAUAGCCCAGAGAAAUUUGGAUUAAUACCUCAUAGUAUAACGACUCCGCAUGGGGAUGUUAUUAAAGUCACAACGGUGAAAGAUGAGCAUGCGUCCCAUUAGCUAGUUGGUAAGGUAACGGCUUACCAAGGCUACGAUGGGUAGGGGUCCUGAGAGGGAGAUCCCCCACACUGGUACUGAGACACGGACCAGACUCCUACGGGAGGCAGCAGUGAGGAAUAUUGGACAAUGGGCGCAAGCCUGAUCCAGCCAUGCCGCGUGCAGGAUGACGGUCCUAUGGAUUGUAAACUGCUUUUGCACAGGAAGAAACAACUCUACGUGUAGAGUCUUGACGGUACUGUGAGAAUAAGGAUCGGCUAACUCCGUGC